AUGCACUGAUUUCCCCGGGCUGAAGCCAAGGGGCCCCUGAUUUUGAUUAGGGUUCAUAGCUGUCAAUCACAGAUAGCUUAGCUUCGUGUAGGGACUGUGUACUCUCUUUCUCUGUCGGCUGAGGUUUUUUUUCUUCUACUCCUCCAACCCAGGUCACCGGUGUGAGAGGCAAGCGUCCCGAGGACUGCGCUAAAAGCGCAGGCAAUCUCCUGGACCGCCAGCACGAUUCUUGAAGUUGACUGGCCUCUGUUACACUCCCACAGACUCUCCCUGUUGCAAAUGGAGUGUCCAAGUGAGGGAUGCAUUGCCAAAAGUCAGCCAAUGUGGCCCUCGCUGCUAAGAAAGACGGAUAAGUCCGCCGUGAAAUGUGUCACCGGCGCGGACUCAUCUAUAAACCACGGGGGAAAAAAACUCAGGAAAGUGGAGUUUAAGUGGAGGACCGUAAAGAAAUGACUGAAGGCGAGGUGGAAAUCUCCAAGGACAAGGUUGAGGUGAUUGUCAGCUGAUUUCCAUGAGAAUCUACGCUGCUGGAGAGAGGUGAAGUGCAUGCUGGGAUGGGAAGGAGUAGUGAUUGACGUUCAUGAUACUAGCAUUGAUUCUCAUAACAAAUCAUCAAUAUUUUAAUCAUGACUUCAGGGAGCUAUAUUUUAUGUAUUGAGAUUUGUUUCAUUGGUUCUUCAACCUUUAUUAACACAUUGGGCCAUUUUGUGCUGUUCAGUUUUUUUUAUUUGUGUUCCUUAAUUAGCCUGAAAUAGCAACAUGACAAAUGUGUUCCUCACGACCGAAAACGUCUUUUUGAAAUUGCCAUUUUUGAUCCCACAUUUAUCAUA